GCCCGGGGGACUGCCCGGCUGAGGGAGAGGCACACCUCCUCUGGGCGCUGUGGGUCUGUGUGUGUCCGGACUGGGAGAUCCCGAGUGCCUCCCGGUACGAGUUCCCACUCACCACUCCCCGGAGGAUGACGGGAGCUUGGAGGCAGGGUCCGAGCCUGCGGCCUCAGCACAGGAUGCGCACCUGUGGGAGAGGUCACCCAGAAGAGACCAAGACGGAGCGUCUCAGGAGUGAGAAUUGUAUUUCUGGGGAAAUGGGAUUUUAUUCCUUAAAAYGUUCACAUGUAACUUGGCGCUAACUCAACCGUGGUCUCCUGGUGGUGGAAGAGGACGAGGCCGAAGAGAGCAAGCAGAAACACCAGGGCUUCAUGUGCUGGCCAAGGAAAGUCACGUAGCUGCAUUCAGCAUCCAGGCUUGGGGAGAUGCACUUCACUCCAUUUGCUGAUGAAGUUGCAAUCACCUAGCAAAGGGUGUAGCCUACAAUGGUGGAUUGGAUUCUUCCUUGAGGAAAAUGAGUCAUGGCGAGGACUUCUGCAGAUAUCGCUGGCUCUGAUCAUUUGCGCUAGUUAAAGGAGCACGUGGAAUUGAGGGUGGCCACGCUCCAGACCCGACCCACGUUGGCUUGGGAGCGUGUCUUUCUGUGGCCUCCCAGUUCCUGCUGGGUCGGUGUUCUCAGAACUCAGCAGCCCGAGGAGACGGAGCCGGCCUCUCAGGAUGCAUCACUGAGAUUCAGGACGAUUCUCUUUGGACGAUACCCCUGAUGGCACGUCUCCUGUGUUGAGGGGUAAUUACUUGGGUUUUAGCUUCUCUGUCUCACUCCUCCUACGCAGGAAGAUGUAAUUCUGAAAUCUUUUGAUCUAUUUUACAGGUGGCAAAAAUAUCCAGAGACUACCUAGGCUGCCCAUUCUCUCCUGGUACCUUAAAAGCUUUUGCCAAAUUUAUGGGAGAAGAAUAAAUUCCUUUGAUGAGAUAAAAUUGUUUUAGAUAAAGUCUUUUAAUGAGACUCAAUGGCUUUUAAAAGCAGCAGAAAUAACUUAUUAAUUCAUAACCCAAAUAAUAUCAUAAAAUAUCCACAAAGAUCCACUAGACGGACUGUUAGAUGACUUGUCUCUGUGGGCCAUUGCUAGAACGGACCUUAAGCUUUGGUGAACAAUAUUCCAUUGGUCAAAGUAAAAAACUGAUUAAUCUAUACCAGAACCCGAGGUUCACUUGGGAUACUGAUGGAGAAUUAUACCAACAAGGUUUUAUGAAAUGUUUUUAAAGUUUUGGGAA